GGAUGUGGAAGUGAGCUCACGAGUGGUGGUGGAGAGAAAAUUGGUUUUGGUGUCAAAUUAGGUGAUAAAGGAGAUAGAAUCGACAUAGUCUUAUCAGAUUUUUAGUAAUGGGUGGAACAGUUGGUGGUGUUUUGCAAAUGGUGCCGAUGAUUUUUUGAUAUGUGGGUGGUUCUGUUGUUGGUUGUCGCGAUAAGAUGAUGCACAUUUGGUUCCUAACGAUAUAGGGAGUGGUAGUGGUGGCGAAGUGGUAGUGGUGGAGGCAACAAGGUGUGAUCAACUCUAUCUUUGGUGUGAUUGUUUACGACCAGAUCUACAACUGUAUGUAACUUGAUUACAUAUAAUCAACCAUUAGACUAACCUGAUAACAGACAGUCACAUUGAAGACAAAUAUUUGGUCACAAUCACGAAUAACACAAGUUAGUGAUGGUAGUAUUUAUGAUUGUUGAUUUGAGUUGAAGGUGAUAGUGAUUGUGUAUUGGAGGUGAUGGUGGAUUGUGGUAC
rnacentral:lncRNA from 1 species